AAAGGACACGGAGGCUCAUAUUAUGCUUAUCUCUUUCUUUAUUAUACCUCAGCAGCAAAGAGAAGGUAUAAACAUUCAUAGAAAAAAAGUUUAACAGGUUCUCCAAGGGUUAACCCAACCCUUAACCAAUAGGAACAGUCCCUCUAUCUAUAACUAUUCAUGUGACCUUUCCUCUUCCUCUUUCUUUGCUGCUGCCUCAGCUAAGUACCAUCUAUUUUUAGCUCUCCUCAGAGCACCCUCUUUGAAUUAGUAUUGUAUUGUAUUGUUUUAUUUUAUGUGUCUUUAAGAUUUUAUGUCCUAGGUAUUUGUGUGGG